rnacentral:misc_RNA from 1 species
UCCGACUUUUAGCCGACAGUCACCUUAGAGUGCCCAACUGAAUCGCUGGCAACAUGGGACGAGGGUUGCGCUCGUUGCGGGACUUAACCCAACAUCUCGCGACACGAGCUGACGACAGCCAUGCACCACCUGUCACCGACCCCGAAGGACCCCACAUCUCUGCGAGAUUUCCGGCGAUGUCAAACCCAGGUAAGGUUCUUCGCGUUGCAUCGAAUUAAUCCGCAUGCUCCGCCGCUUGUGCGGGCCCCCGUCAAUUCCUUUGAGUUUUAGCCUUGCGGCCGUACUCCCCAGGCGGGGCGCUUAAUGCGUUAGCUGCGGCACAGAGAACCGGAGAGGCCCCCCACACCUGGCGCCCAACGUUUACAGCGUGGACUAC